rnacentral:rRNA from 1 species
CCUACGGGAGGCAGCAGUGAGGAAUAUUGGUCAAUGGACGAGAGUCUGAACCAGCCAAGUAGCGUGAAGGAUGACUGCCCUAUGGGUUGUAAACUUCUUUUAUAUGGGAAUAAAAUGUUCCACGUGUGGGAUUUUGUAUGUACCAUAUGAAUAAGGAUCGGCUAAUUCCGUGCCAGCAGCCGCGGUAAUACGGAGGAUCCGAGCGUUAUCCGGAUUUAUUGGGUUUAAAGGGAGCGUAGGUGGAUUGUUAAGUCAGUUGUGAAAGUUUGGGGCUCAACCGUAAAAUUGCAGUUGAAACUGGCAGUCUUGAGUACAGUAGAGGUGGGCGGAAUUCGUGGUGUAGCGGUGAAAUGCUUAGAUAUCACGAAGAACUCCGAUUGCGAAGGCAGUUCACUGGACUGCAACUGACACUGAGGCUCGAAAGUGUGGGUAUCAAACAGGAUUAGAUACCCGUGUAGUC